rnacentral:rRNA from 1 species
ACGGAGAGUUUGAUCCUGGCUCAGGAUGAACGCUGGCGGCGUGCUUAACACAUGCAAGUCGAACGAACCUUCGGGUGAGUGGCGGACGGGUGAGUAACGCGUGGGAAUCUGCCCUCAGGAGGGGGAUAACGGCUGGAAACGGCCGCUAAUACCCCAUAUGCCGAGAGGUGAAAUGAAUUUCGCCUGAGGAUGAGCCCGCGUCUGAUUAGCUAGUUGGUGAGGUAAGAGCUCACCAAGGCAUCGAUCAGUAGCUGGUCUGAGAGGAUGAUCAGCCACACUGGGACUGAGACACGGCCCAGACUCCUACGGGAGGCAGCAGUGGGGAAUUUUCCGCAAUGGGCGAAAGCCUGACGGAGCAACGCCGCGUGAGGGAUGAAGGCCUCUGGGCUGUAAACCUCUUUUCUCAAGGAAGAAGAUCUGACGGUACUUGAGGAAUAAGCCACGGCUAAUUCCGUGCCAGCAGCCGCGGUAAUACGGGAGUGGCAAGCGUUAUCCGGAAUUAUUGGGCGUAAAGCGUCCGCAGGCGGCCCUUCAAGUCUGCUGUUAAAACGUGGAGCUUAACUCCAUCAUGGCAGUGGAAACUGUUGGGCUCGAGUGUGGUAGGGGCAGAGGGAAUUCCCGGUGUAGCGGUGAAAUGCGUAGAUAUCGGGAAGAACACCAGUGGCGAAGGCGCUCUGCUGGGCCAUAACUGACGCUCAUGGACGAAAGCCAGGGGAGCGAAAGGGAUUAGAUACCCCUGUAGUCCUGGCCGUAAACGAUGAACACUAGGUGUCGGGGGAAUCGACCCCCUCGGUGUCGUAGCCAACGCGUUAAGUGUUCCGCCUGGGGAGUACGCACGCAAGUGUGAAACUCAAAGGAAUUGACGGGGGCCCGCACAAGCGGUGGAGUAUGUGGUUUAAUUCGAUGCAACGCGAAGAACCUUACCAGGGUUUGACAUCCUGCGAACCUCUUGGAAACGAGAGGGUGCCUUCGGGAGCGCAGUGACAGGUGGUGCAUGGCUGUCGUCAGCUCGUGUCGUGAGAUGUUGGGUUAAGUCCCGCAACGAGCGCAACCCACGUCUUUAGUUGCCAGCAUUUAGUUGGGCACUCUAGAGAGACCGCCGGUGAUAAACCGGAGGAAGGUGUGGAUGACGUCAAGUCAUCAUGCCCCUUACAUCCUGGGCUACACACGUACUACAAUGCUACGGACAAAGAGCAGCAAGUUCGCGAGGACAAGCAAAUCUCAUAAACCGUGGCUCAGUUCAGAUCGUAGGCUGCAACUCGCCUACGUGAAGGAGGAAUCGCUAGUAAUCGCAGGUCAGCAUACUGCGGUGAAUACGUUCCCGGGCCUUGUACACACCGCCCGUCACACCAUGGAAGUUGGCCACGCCCGAAGCCGUUACUCCAACCCUUGUGGAGGAGGACGUCGAAGGUGGGGCUGAUGACUGGGGUGAAGUCGUAACAAGGUAGCCGUACCGGAAGGUGCGGCUGGAUCACCUCCU